rnacentral:rRNA from 1 species
AGUGAACGCUGGUGGUAGGCCUAACACAUGCAAGUCGAACGGCAGCACAGUAAGAGCUUGCUCUUACGGGUGGCGAGUGGCGGACGGGUGAGGAAUACAUCGGAAUCUACUUUUUCGUGGGGGAUAACGUAGGGAAACUUACGCUAAUACCGCAUACGACCUACGGGUGAAAGCAGGGGAUCUUCGGACCUUGCGCGAUUGAAUGAGCCGAUGUCGGAUUAGCUAGUUGGCGGGGUAAAGGCCCACCAAGGCGACGAUCCGUAGCUGGUCUGAGGGGAUGAUCAGCGACACUGGAACUGAGACACGGUCCAGACUCCUACGGGAGGCAGCAGUGGGGAAUAUUGGACAAUGGGCGCAAGCCUGAUCCAGCCAUACCGCGUGGGUGAAGAAGGCCUUCGGGUUGUAAAGCCCUUUUGUUGGGAAAGAAAAGCAGCAGGUUAAUACCCCGCUGUUCUGACGGUACCCAAAGAAUAAGCACCGGCUAACUUCGUG